GUGCUCACUUUGGCAGCACACAUGCUAAAAUUGAGAAGAGAUUAGUAGGGCCCCUGUGCAAGGAUGACAUGGAAGUUCAUGAAGUAGCUCAUAUUUUU
ensembl:snRNA U6 U6 spliceosomal RNA